GCCCCUACGGGGGGCAGCAGUGGGGAAUAUUGGGCAAUGGGCGCAAGCCUGACCCAGCAACGCCGCGUGAAGGAAGAAGGCUUUCGGGUUGUAAACUUCUUUUCUCAGGGACGAAGAAAGUGACGGUACCUGAGGAAUAAGCCACGGCUAACUACGUGCCAGCAGCCGCGGUAAUACGUAGGUGGCAAGCGUUAUCCGGAUUUAUUGGGUGUAAAGGGCGUGUAGGCGGGAGCGCAAGUCAGAUGUGAAAACUCAGGGCUCAACCCUGUCGAGCCGUCGGAACUGGCAGCCU
rnacentral:rRNA from 1 species